AGUCGAGGGGCAGCAUAAUGGAUAGCAAUAUCUAUGGUGGCGACCGGCGCACGGGUGCGUAACGCGUAUGCAACCUACCUUUAACAGGGGGAUAACACUGAGAAAUUGGUACUAAUACCCCAUAAUAUCAUAGAAGGCAUCUUUUAUGGUUGAAAAUUCCGAUGGUUAGAGAUGGGCAUGCGUUGUAUUAGCUAGUUGGUGGGGUAACGGCUCACCAAGGCGACGAUACAUAGGGGGACUGAGAGGUUAACCCCCCACACUGGUACUGAGACACGGACCAGACUCCUACGGGAGGCAGCAGUGAGGAAUAUUGGUCAAUGGACGCAAGUCUGAACCAGCCAUGCCGCGUGCAGGAUGACGGCUCUAUGAGUUGUAAACUGCUUUUGUACGAGGGUAAACGCAGAUACGUGUAUCUGUCUGAAAGUAUCGUACGAAUAAGGAUCGGCUAACUCCGUGCCAGCAGCCGCGGUAAUACGGAGGAUUCAAGCGUUAUCCGGAUUUAUUGGGUUUAAAGGGUGCGUAGGCGGUUUGAUAAGUUAGAGGUGAAAUUUCGGGGCUCAACCCUGAACGUGCCUCUAAUACUGUUGAGCUAGAGAGUAGUUGCGGUAGGCGGAAUGUAUGGUGUAGCGGUGAAAUGCUUAGAGAUCAUACAGAACACCGAUUGCGAAGGCAGCUU
rnacentral:rRNA from 1 species